rnacentral:rRNA from 1 species
AGUGAACGCUGGCGGUAGGCCUAACACACGCAAGUCGAACGGCAGCACAGUAAGAGCUUGCUCUUACGGGUGGCGAGUGGCGGACGGGUGAGUAAUACAUCGGAAUCUACUUUUUCGUGGGGGAUAACGUAGGGAAACUUACGCUAAUACCGCAUACUACCUACGGGUGAAAGCAGGGGAUCUUCGUACCUUGCGCGAUUGAAUGAGCCGAUGUCGGAUUAGCUAGUUGGCGGGGUAAAGGCCCACCAAGGCGACGAUCCGUAGCUGGUCUGAGAGGAUGAUCAGCCACACUGGAACUGAGACACGGUCCAGACUCCUACGGGAGGCAGCAGUGGGGAAUAUUGGACAAUGGGCGAAAGCAUGAUCCAGCAAUACCGCGUGGGUGAAGAAGGCCUUCGGGUUGUAAAGCCCUUUUGUUGGGAAAGAAAAGCAGCAGGUUAAUACCCCGCUGUUCUGACGGUACCCAAAGAAUAAGCACCGGCUAACUUCGUG